UACAGAGACCUCAAGCGUUAUCCGGAAUCAUUGGGCGUAAAGCGUACCGAUAGGUGGUUUAGAAAGUCAGAUGUGAAAUUCCAAGGCUCAACCUUGGGACUGUCAUUUGAAACUUCUAAACUAGAGGGGCAAAGAGGAAGCUGGAACGAACGGUGUAGUAGUGAAAUGCGUUGAUAUCGUUCGGAACACCAAUAGCGAAGGCAGGCCUCUGGGUGCCACCUGACACUGCUAGGACGAAAGCGUGGGGAGCGAAUGGG
rnacentral:rRNA from 1 species